rnacentral:rRNA from 1 species
GAGCCAUGCUAUUGGGAUCGAUUAGCAUGCUAGUCGCACGAGUCAGACUCGUGGCGAAUAGCUCAGUACACGUGGCAAACUACUCGGAGUACAUACCCUCGGGAAACUGAGGUAUAGUACAUCCCAUACACACUGGAAUGAGUGGUAUGCAAACGCUCAGCGCCGAAGGAUGUGGCUGCGGCCGAUUAGGUAGACGGUGGGGUAACGGCCCACCGUGCCAAUAAUCGGUAUGGGUCAUGAGAGUGAGAACCCAGAGACGGAAUCUGAGACAAGAUUCCGGGCCCUACGGGGCGCAGCAGGCGCGAAACCUUUACACUGCACGCCAGUGCGAUAGGGGGAUCCCAAGUGCACAGGCAUAGUGCCUGUGCUUUUCGGUACCCUAAGGCGGUACCAGAAUAAGGGCUGGGCAAGACCGGUGCCAGCCGCCGCGGUAAUACCGGCAGCUCGAGUGAUGUCCACUAUUAUUGGGCCUAAAGCGUCCGUAGCUGGCCAGCCAAGUUCGUCGGGAAAUCCACCUGCCCAACAGGUGGGCGUCCGGCGAAAACUGUCUGGCUUGGAACCGGAAGGCUCAGAGGGUACGUCGAGGGUAGGAGUGAAAUCCCGUAAUCCUCGACGGACCACCGAUGGCGAAAGCACUCUGAGAGGACGGAUUCGACAGUGAGGGACGAAAGCUAGGGUCUCGAACCGGAUUAGAUACCCGGGUAGUCCUAGCUGUAAACGAUGCUCGUUAGGUGUGGCACCCACUACGAGUGGGUGCUGUGCCGUAGGGAAGCCGCUAAACGAGCCGCCUGGGAAGUACGUCCGCAAGGAUGAAACUUAAAGGAAUUGGCGGGGGAGCAC